UACGUCUUUUUCUAUCGUUAAUCGGAAUUACUGGGCGUAAAGCGUGCGCAUGCGGUUUUGUAAGACAGAUGUGAAAUCCCCGGGCUUUACCUGGGAACUGCAUUUGUGACUGCAAGGCUAGAGUACGGCAGAGGGGGGUAGAAUUCCACGUGUAGCAGUGAAAUGCGUAGAUAUGUGGAGGAAUACCGAUGGCGAAGGCAGCCCCCUGGGUCGAUACUGACGCUCAUGCACGAAAGCGUGGGGAGCAAACAGG
rnacentral:rRNA from 1 species